CCUACGGGAGGCAGCAGUGAGGAAUAUUGGUCAAUGGCCGGAAGGCUGAACCAGCCAAGCCGCGUGAAGGACGAAGGUGCCAAGCAUUGUAAACUUCUUUUGUCAAGGGACAAAAUCAGGCUCGAGAGCCUGACCGAGGGUACUUGAAGAAAAAGCAUCGGCUAACUCCGUGCCAGCAGACGCGGUAAUACGGAGGAUGCGAGCGUUAUCCGGAUUUGUUGGGUUCAAAGGGUGGGUAGGCGGACUGUUAAGUCAGCGGUAAAAGCCCGGGGCUCACCCCCGGCGAGCCGUUGAAACUGGCUGUAUUGAGAUGUCGAGAGGUAUGCGGAAUGCGCAGUGUAGCGGUGAAAUGCUUAGAUAUUGCGCAGAACUCCGAUUGCGAAGGCAGCAUACCGGCGGCGAUCUGACGCUGAGGCACGAAAGCGUGGGUAUCGAACAGGAUUAGAUACCCCAGUAGUC
rnacentral:rRNA from 1 species